AAAUGCGGGGCUCAACUCCGUAUUGCGUUGGAAAUUGCCUAACUAGAGUAUCGGAGAGGUGGGCGGAACUACAAGUGUAGAGGUGAAAUUCGUAGAUAUUUGUAGGAAUGCCAAUGGGGAAGCCAGCCUACUGGACAGAUACUGACGCUAAAGCGCGAAAGCGUGGGUAGCAA
rnacentral:rRNA from 1 species